rnacentral:rRNA from 1 species
CUACAGAGGUCUCGAAGCCGUUUGUUCGGGAUUCAUUGGGCGGUAAAGGGUGACGUAGGCGGCGGCGGGUAAAGUCGGGUGUGAAAUCUCGGAGCUUAACUCCGAAACUGCAUUCGAUACUGACCGUGCUUGAGGGCUGGAGAGGAGAGACUGGAAUUUACGGUGUGAGCGGUAGAAAUGCGUAGAUAAUCGUAAGGAAGACC